GAUGAGAUUGCGAAUGAGUUAACCAAUACAGUAUUGAUUAUUAGAACUAUGAUAUAAUUUCUGUUAUGAAUCGAAUCUUGCGCUUAUUUGAAACUAUUAUAAAAAGGUUAGCACGCUAAUGAUAUCUGUGUUGACUGAUUGGGUUAAAUUGAUACAUAAAUAAUUUCUACAGGAUAAUGCUAGUAUAGAUAUGAGAAUGACAAGAAUAGGCAGUGAAGACAACAAAUUAGGCCAGAACCUAAGUUUGGGGGGAAAACAUAGGGUGUAUAAGCUACAAUAGAAAAAAAUGGAAAUAAGUUGAGUCUUUUGGUGGGUUGAGGAGAAAUACUCCCCAUAAACACAAGCGUGAGAUGGAGCGUAAAACGCACUCACCAACCAUCUAUCUAAAAAAAAUUAAAGAGAAAAAUAAAGAGAAGACGGAAAAUAAAGGCAAAGAGCCCCCCGUCAAUGAGAAAAAAAUUAAAAGAAGAAGCGAGCAUGAAUACCCUAUACGGACCCUUAAUCUUGGUAAUUGUUUGAUUUGAGUUGGAACUUGUUUAUUUUUGAAAAUUUUAAGUUUGCACUGUAUGAUUCCUUCUAAGAAAUUGAUUAUGUAUUGAAUUUGAGUCCGUAUCAGUUAUCAUGGAUGUUUAACACACACGCACACUAUACCAGUGAUGAUUGCUUAAGGAUUGAGAAUUAAUAUGAAAUUGUGGAUUGGUUUUGGUGAUUCAUAUUGUAGAGUUUGCUUGUUUUCUCUGAG
rnacentral:lncRNA from 1 species